CCUACGGGCGGCUGCAGUGGGGAAUAUUGCACAAUGGGCGCAAGCCUGAUGCAGCCAUGCCGCGUGUGUGAAGAAGGCCUUCGGGUUGUAAAGCACUUUCAGCGGGGAGGAAGGCGUUAAGGUUAAUAACCUUGUCGAUUGACGUUACCCGCAGAAGAAGCACCGGCUAACUCCGUGCCAGCAGCCGCGGUAAUACGGAGGGUGCAAGCGUUAAUCGGAAUUACUGGGCGUAAAGCGCACGCAGGCGGUCUGUCAAGUCGGAUGUGAAAUCCCCGGGCUCAACCUGGGAACUGCAUUCGAAAAUGGCAGGCUAGAGUCUGGUAGAGGGGGGUAGAAUGCCAGGUGUAGCGGUGAAAUGCGUAGAGAUCUGGAGGAAUACCGGGGGCGAAGGCGGCCCCCUGGACAAAGACUGACGCUCAGGUGCGAAAGCGUGGGGAGCAAACAGGAUUAGAUACCCGAGUAGUC
rnacentral:rRNA from 1 species